UACAGAGGGGCAAGCGUUGUUCGGAAUUACUGGGCGUAAAGGGCGCGUCGGCGGCCUGUUAAGUCGAACGUGAAAUCCCCGGGCUCAACCCGGGAACUGCGUCCGAUACUGGCAGGCUUGAAUCCGGGAGAGGGAUGCGGAAUUCCAGGUGUAGCGGUGAAAUGCGUAGAUAUCUGGAGGAACACCGGUGGCGAAGGCGGCAUCCUGGACCGGCAUUGACGCUGAGGCGCGAAAGCCAGGGGAGCAAACGGG
rnacentral:rRNA from 1 species